rnacentral:lncRNA from 11 species
GUGUGUACAAACACAAAAGGCAUGCCGCGCGCCCAGGAGGAAGGAGGCUUUUUCCCUUUCCUAACUGAAAUUUGGGACAGUCCAUUAUUCCUCCGGGGGGAGCGAGAGAGAAGAGUGGUUCGAACCCUUGGGCAACGGUUCGUCGCGUGCUGCCUAAACGGUCGCCAAACCUCUCCCCCUCAACGGUCGCCAACCGUCCGUCCGCCCGUCUCCAGGCAGUAUCUUGAUUUCCCCACAACAAAGUUCAUACCUAAAGUUUGAAGGUAACUGGUUGUUCUUGAAGUUGUGGUUGUGGAUGAUUCCAGAGACGAAGGACAGAUGAAAGUUUCCCUUGCUCACUUUCUCUGGUAAAGAAGACUGGGGCAUCCAAUGCCCAAGGUGAUCAGGCCAGAGGUAAAGAGAGCAGGACCCUCCUAUUGAGGCCUGGUACCUCACUGAAGGCACUGGAAACUCCACAAACUUUCACUGACCAGAGGUAGGCCAGUAUAGCUGGAUGAGUUCCCAGAUUAAUUACCGGUAGUUGGUUAUUGGCUUGAAAUGGCUUGUGCAGCAUUAAUGGUGCAACAUGAGAAAAUGUUGACCAUUUCCGCUACCUUGGCAGCCACCUCUCCACAAAACUAAACAUUGACACUGAAAUACAACACCACCUGAGCUCUGCGAGUGCAGCAUCCUUCCGAAUGAAGUAGAGUGUUUGAGGAUCGGGACAUCCAUAGGGAUACCAAGGGGCUUGUUUAUAAAGCUAUUGUCCUCCCAACCUUGUUAUAUGCCUGCAAAACAUGGACUGUACAGAUGUCACACUCAACUUCUGGAAUUAUUCCACCAGCAUUGCCUCUGAAAAAUCCUGCAAAUCUCUUGGGAAGACAGGCUGACAAAUGUCAGCGGACUGGAAGAAGGAAAGACCACCAGCAUUGAAGUGAUGCUCCUAUGCCAUCUACUCCGUUGGACUGUCCACAUUGUCUGAAUGCCUGAUCACUGUCUCCCAAAGCAGUUACUGUACUCCCAACUCAAGAACGGAUAGGAAAAGAGAUUUAAAGAUGGGCUUAAAGCUAACCUCAAAAACUGUGGCAUAGACACUGAGAACUGGGAAGCCCUGGCCCUUGAGCACUCUAACUGGAGGUCAGCUGUGACCAGCAGUGCAGUGGAAUUCAAAGAGGCACGAAUGGAGGGUGAAAGGGAGAAACUUUUCCAAGAGGAAAGCACGUUAAGCCAACUCUGACCAGGAUACCUUCCACCUGGAAACAGAUGCCCUCACUGUGGAAGAACAUGCGGGUCAAGAAUAGGACUCCACAGUCACCUACGUACCCACUGUCAAGACAUUACACUUGGAGGGCCAUCAUACUCAGACAAUGAGGGAUCACUUAAGUAAGUAAGUAAGUAAGUAAAGUGAAAUGGCUUGUCCAAGCCUGAAUCCCGCUGAGACCAACUACAGACAUGUCUUGCUUCCAAGUUCCCUGAUGGUAAUAACCCUAAAUUAAAGAUUGCUCUCUUUUCCCGGGCAAAAAAGGGCAGGCAAACUUAUUGAUCCAAACCAGGAGGGGUCUCCUUAAGCUUCAUAAAACUAACAGAAAAGUGACUACAGUGUUCCCUCACUUAUCGCGGGGGUUAUGUUCCAGGACCACCCGCAAUAAGUGAAAUUCCACAAAGUAGGGGCACUAUAUUUAUUUCAAUAUUUGCACAUUAAAGUAGUAGUUAGAUGGCCUUUCUCCCCUUUGCAAGCCUUCUUCCUGCACUUCUUCCUCUCCGG